rnacentral:rRNA from 1 species
UGCCAGCAGCCGCGGUAAUACGGAGGGUGCAAGCGUUGUUCGGAAUCACUGGGCGUAAAGAGCGCGUAGGCUGUCAUAUAAGCUAAGGGUGAAAUCCCUGAGCUCAACUUUGGAAUUGUUCUUAGAACUGUAUGACUAGAGGAUGUUAGAGGCAGAUGGAAUUCCUGGUGUAGAGGUGAAAUUCGUAGAUAUCAGGAGGAAGAUCGGUGGCGAAGGCGGUCUGCUGGAGCAUGCCUGACGCUGAGGCGCGAAAGCAUGGGUAGCAAACAGGAUUAGAUA